rnacentral:ncRNA from 2 species
UACUUGGUUGAUCCUGCCAAGGAAGCACACUUAGGUCAUAGAUUAAGCCAUGCAAGUGUUAGUUCAGGUAACGAAACUGCGAAUAGCUCAUUAAUACGCUCAGAAUCUAUUUGGCGGCGACCAACAGGUCUUAAAUGGAUAGCAGCAGCAACUCUGGUGCUAAUACAUGCGAUUGUUUCUCCAGAUGUGAAUUAUGGAGGAAAAGUUGACCUCAUCAGAGGCACGCCAUUCGACUGAGUGACCUAUCAGCUUGUACUUAGGGUCUUUACCUAGGUAGGCUAUCACGGGUAACGGGCGGUUACCGUCGGACUGCCGGAGAAGGCGCCUGAGAGAUAGCGACUAUAUCCACGGGUAGCAGCAGGCGCGAAACUUUCCCACUCGAGACUUUCGGAGGAGGUAAUGACCAGUUCCAUUGGUGCCUUUUGGUACUGUGGAUAGGGGUACGGUUUUCCACCGUACCGAAACCUAGCAGAGGGCCAGUCUGGUGCCAGCAGCUGCGGUAAUUCCAGCUCUGCGAGUUUGCUCCCAUAUUGUUGCAGUUAAAACGCCCGUAGUCUGAAUUGGCCAGCAAUGGUCGUACGUAUUUUUACGUUCACUGUGAACAAAUCAGGACGCUUAGAGUAUGGCCACAUGAAUGACUCAGCGCAGUAUGAAGUCUUUGUUUUCUUCCGAAAACAAGCUCAAUGAGAGCCAUCGGGGGUAGAUCUAUCUCAUGACGAGUGGUGGAAUACUUUGACUCAUGAGAGAGAAGCUGAGGCGAAGGCGUCUACCUAGAGGGUUUCUGUCGAUCAAGGGCGAGAGUAGGAGUAUCCAACAGGAUUAGAGACCCUGGUAGUUCCUACCUUAAACGAUGCCGACAGGAGUUUGUCAUUGUAAUG